rnacentral:lncRNA from 1 species
UAGAAAUUAGAUUACAAGAGAAUAAUAUGUUAUAUACUGUUUUUGUUACGACAAACGCACAAAAGAAAACAAAAUGACGAACACAAAAACAAUCAAACCACAAGCAGAAAAUAAAGAGACACAGAUUUACGUGGAAAACCCUUUUGCAGGAAAAAAUCACGGGCGAGUGAGGAGAGGACUUCACUAUGGAACAAAAAGGGAAUGCAAUGUUCUUCAGAUUACAACCAACCACGAUCACACGCCUCUAGGGCAUAAACGAUAAACGAAAAGAAAAACUCAUAACGGAUUUCGGAUCCGAUCUGUACCGCAGGGUUUUUUCUCCAUAAUUUUCUUUUCCAAAUUGGUCGCACCGCGAAGCUGUCGGCGAGUCAUAAACCCGAACCUAAAUCAAUAGUAGAUUUCGAGUCACAUCUAACAGUUUUUUUUCUAAACAAUUAAAAUAAAGCUUCAAAUCCUUCCCUGAAUAUAUAUAUA